UUUCUUGGAAAAUAAUAAUUCUAUGUGCAUGUAGGGAAAUGACAGAAGUUCAGGCUUUCACUUUAAUUCCAUCAGGAUUUAAAAUGACUACAGAGGAGAUUUCGAGGAGACCAGCAUUAUUGCAUUAUUCUUUACUGUAUUUAUGUAUCAUGUUUAUUGUGUUACUGACUGUAGAGACAAAUCUCAUCACUUAUUCAACAUUUGGUGUUAUUUCUCCUACAGACUUCUGCAGUGUGUGCUGUACACUUUGCUCAGAGUCAAAGAAGUGUGUGUGUGUGUGUGUGUGUGUGUGUUUAGGUUCAUUGUAGUGUAACAGAGGUUUUUGUACGACGGUUUCAUUAGAAUGUAUCACUGUGGAACACUUUUGGUGGAGGAACAAAACUCAUUAUGAAAACUGGACCGAUGGUGAAGCCCUCCGUGUCGCUGCUCCCUCCCUCCUCUCUGCAGCCCUCUGAGGGUUCGGCCUCUGCUCUGCCUGCUCUCUGACUAUUCUCCACAGGGGGCGCUGCCGAGCUGGACCGUGGACGGUGUCGAGGUGAACGAAGGUGUUCUGACCAGCACAGAAGAUCAGAAGAACGGUGUCUACAGCCGCAGCAGCACCCUGACCCUCAGCAAAGAACGCUGGGAAGAGGCCGAGGUGUUCGGCUGUAUCGUCUCUCACCACGACACCACUCAGAUCACCUCGUUCCGAAAGAGCCGCUGUGAAGUCCACUAGAAUUCAAGUGUACACUUUAACACAUGCUUAGCAGUCUGAGGUGGUGUCAGUGGUGUAGCUGUGCUGAAAUAAAGCUUCAAUCUGGAAAUCA